UCGGGAAUUUUGCGCAAUGGAGGAAACUCUGACGCAGUGACGCCGCGUAUAGGAAGAAGGUUUUCGGAUUGUAAACUAUUUUAGUCAGGGAAGAAAAAUGACAGUACCUGAAGAAUAAGCUCCGGCUAACUACGUGCCAGCAGCCGCGGUAAUACGUAGGGAGCAAGCGUUAUCCGGAUUUAUUGGGUGUAAAGGGUGCGUAGACGGGAAGACAAGUUGGUUGUGAAAUCCCUCGGCUCAACUGAGGAACUGCAACCAAAACUAUCAUUCUUGAGUGCGGGAGAGGAAAGUGGAAUUCCUAGUGUAGCGGUGAAAUGCGUAGAUAUUAGGAGGAACACCAGUGGCGAAGGCGACUUUCUGGACCGUAACUGACGUUGAGGCACGAAAGUGUGGGGAGCAAACAGG
rnacentral:rRNA from 1 species